AAAUAAGAAGUAAAAUAUUACAUUUAGUUUCGACCUAAAAGUUUGGUGUUUAAACACCCUUAUUUA
rnacentral:tRNA from 1 species